UUCCCAGUUCCCAGGCCUGCCUUUCCCCCUUAAGAAAAGAUAUAUCGCCUUAGAAACCUUUGCAUACAAAUCUCUGUAUCUCAGUGAGUUUUCAAGAAAGCCAGACUGACACAUAAUGUGGUAUGGAAGAGAAUUUAUGAAAAUUUGAUUUGAAUUCCAUAAUGUACUUAUUGGAAUGAGUAUUGUCUGACACUAACCAGAUGGCCAUCUGAAACCUUUCCCUGACACUCUCUCUAGGAAAAGGAACAAUUGAUGAAGAUUUGGUGGAAAACCACAUAUAUUCAAAAUAAAUGUCUCAUAAAUGCAAUCUACACAAGUUCGUUUUUCAAAUAUAUAUGAAAAGUCAGAUUUAAUCUGAAUAUCUUAUGUUACAC
rnacentral:lncRNA from 1 species